rnacentral:rRNA from 1 species
AUUGAACGCUGGCGGCAUGCUUUACACAUGCAAGUCGAACGGUAACAGGUUAAGCUGACGAGUGGCGAACGGGUGAGUAAUGCAUCGGAACGUGCCCGAUCGUGGGGGAUAACGCAGCGAAAGCUGCGCUAAUACCGCAUACGAUCUGAGGAUGAAAGCGGGGGACCGUAAGGCCUCGCGCGAUCGGAGCGGCCGAUGUCAGAUUAGGUAGUUGGUGGGGUAAAGGCCCACCAAGCCGACGAUCUGUAGCUGGUCUGAGAGGACGACCAGCCACACUGGGACUGAGACACGGCCCAGACUCCUACGGGAGGCAGCAGUGGGGAAUUUUGGACAAUGGGCGAAAGCCUGAUCCAGCAAUGCCGCGUGCAGGAAGAAGGCCUUCGGGUUGUAAACUGCUUUUGUACGGAGCGAAAGGGUCCUUUCUAAUACAAGGGGCUCAUGACGGUACCGUAAGAAUAAGCACCGGCUAACUCUGUGCCAGCAGCCGCCGUAACAC